GAAUGUGAUCAUACCAGCACGAAUUCACUAGAUCCCAUCAGAACUCCGUUGUUAAGCUUGCUUGGGCGAGAGUGUACUAGUAUGGGUGACCUCUUGGUAAGUCAUCGUGUUGCAUCCC
rfam:Arabidopsis thaliana chromosome 5, complete sequence.